rnacentral:lncRNA from 1 species
UACAUACGGGGAUAAAAGAUUUUUGCUUUUAUGCAAACCUAUUAUAUUUUAACUCAGUGUUUUUUUGUUUUUUUUUUAGAUUUUAUUUAUUUAUUCAUGAGAGGCACAGAGAGAGAGCAGCAGAGACACAAACAGAGAGAGAAGUAGGCUCCAUGCAGGGAGCCCAAUACAGGACUUGAUUAUGGGACUCCAGGAUCACGCUCUGGGCCGAAGGUAGAAGCUCAACUGCUGAGCCACCCAGGCAUCCCUAACUCAGUGGUUCUUAAUCAGGGGCAAUUUUGCACCCCCUCCCCCAAGAACAUCUGGAAAUGUCUGGAGACAUUUCUGGUUGUUAAGGUGUGGCCCUGAGGGACAGGGAUGGGGACUUCAAUGGCCUUCUAAUGGGUGGGUAGAGACAGGGGUGCUGCUAAAUAUCCUACAAUGCACAGGACAGCCCCCCACAACAAAGAGUUAUCUGACCCUAAAUGUCACUAGUGCCAGGGCCAGGGAACUCUGUUUUAACCUAAUGGGGCCCCUUGCAUUGCGCAGAUGCUUUUGGGUAAGGGAUCACAUAUUGCUUCCUAGUUUGCCAAUAUCAGAAACAGCAACUUAGGAUAUAGUAUAUUGGAGACCAUAUUUGGCAAUGACACCUUGACAAAUUGGGAUCAUUACUUUUAUUGUUCACAUGUACAAAUAAAUAAGUCACAUGUCAUACGCUGAGGAAAACCUCAUAGCUGUAUGUGUAGUAAGUGUCACCCUUGGAGACGCAGAAAAGAUGAGCAACCUUCAGGACAAUGAGGUAGGAGGCAGCUGAGGGCUCACCUCUUUCUUGUGGCCCCGGUGCCCAGUCAUGCGCUCCAAACCCAAUCUUGUUCCAGGGUCCCUGGACCACCCCCGGGGUCUGAUCUCCUACCAGCUGCACCCCCCCCCCCCACUGCCAUCCCAACGAAGCUGUCCUUCUUGGAGCUUCUUCAGGGACCACACUGGUGACGUUAUAUUUUUCCCUCCCGGCUCCAUGAGUUCAGGAACUGCUUUACAGGCUAACAUUGUCUUACUUCAAUGAAAAUGAAUCACUACUGCUUGGAAACAAAAAAUAGACAAACCGAGCGUAGUUUUGCCAACAUCAUCUUCUUAAAGUGAAUUUUAAGUGGAAUUUAAAAAACAGUUUCUUCAAUGAAAUGCAUGAGUGCCUGUGUGUCUCAUCCUGUGAAUGAAGACCAAUAAAUCAUGAGGUUGAUGUAGUAAAAGCGAGAUGGUACGGAG